rnacentral:rRNA from 1 species
GACGAACGCUGGCGGCGUGCCUAAUACAUGCAAGUCGAGCGGACUGAUUAAGAGCUUGCUCUUAUGACGUUAGCGGCGGACGGGUGAGUAACACGUGGGCAACCUGCCCUGUAGAUCGGGAUAACACCGAGAAAUCGGUGCCAAUACCGGGUAAUAUCUGAGAUCACAUGAUCUUAGGUUAAAAGAUGGCUCCGGCUAUCACUACAGGAUGGGCCCGCGGCGCAUUAGCUAGUUGGUAAGGUAAUGGCUUACCAAGGCGACGAUGCGUAGCCGACCUGAGAGGGUGAUCGGCCACACUGGGACUGAGACACGGCCCAGACUCCUACGGGAGGCAGCAGUAGGGAAUCUUCCGCAAUGGACGAAAGUCUGACGGAGCAACGCCGCGUGAGUGAUGAAGGGUUUCGGCUCGUAAAGCUCUGUUGUUAGGGAAGAAACAGUACCGAACGAACUAGGUCGGUACCUUGACGGUACCUAACCAGAAAGCCACGGCUAACUACGUG